UGUCCAGAAGCAAAACCUUUGAAUAUUCAAGUCAUUCUCCCCAUCGAAUGGAAGACAUUAUUAUUGUGACCAUAGUGGUUUUCGGGAUGGCCUUUGUUGUGUUCAUCUCCUGCUGCCUGAGUAAAAGCAUGAGAAACCUUCAUCUACAUCUGGUGCGAAGAAUUACAGUCAUGACUGCACAAUACCAUUCACAGGGCAGUCAGUACUCACCUUACCCGGCUAAUAACCUUCACCCCGUUUAUGGAUUGCAACCCAUUCCGAUUGGACCAACUCUGGGACAACAAUAUGCCCCGGGACCACCAUCUACAUAUCUGGAGGCUGUGUUUGCGUGACGUUGAUUGUUCUUUAGACGCCCCUGAGCUGAUCUGGUAACACUGUGUGCUUCAAGAGAAGGUAGUUGAACAGGAAGAGCAGCGCGAUGGCGUCCACCUCAGCGGUUCUCCUGCUCCUUUCUGCAGGUUUAUUCACGGUAACAGUCGGUUUUGGUGACUGUAAGGGCUACUUCACCAGCAAUAACGCGUACAGUUCUUCGAUUAGCUGCGGGUUUAUGCAGCACUGCUGUGGAAGCUGCGAUUACAGAUACUGCUGCUCCUCUGAAUCUUCGAGGUUAUCCGAGCAUGAGCAAAAUAUGUGCACUAUGACAAGCAGAGAAGGCCCUGCUGACCCUGAUGGACCACCACAGCAUUUGAUGUAUCAUGACGACAGAAACAGUAUUGCCAUUGGCUCAUCAAUAGUGGGGGUUUUGGUCCUCAUCAUCUUGUUCACCUGCUGCUGCUGCCCCUGCUGUUGUAUCUAUCAAAUGUGCAGAAAACCCAGACCUGUGGUACAAACACAUGUAACUACAGUCAUGAAUACACAAUCCAUUCAGCAGCAGCCUGUAAUGCAGGGAGGCCAGUACGCACAAUACCAACCAGUGCCGACUCAACCAGGUUACGGGGGUCAUCCUAUGCAGACAGGACCAUAUCAGGGACAGUCAUAUGCACCAGGACCUCCACCCUUGUAUCAUGUGGCCAUGAGUCCUGGAUAUCCCACUAUUCAGGGUGCAUAUGACGGAGGCCAGGCCAUGUAUCCCAUGCAGCCACCUGCCCAGCUGGGUGUUGCUCCUAUGCUUUCAGAGACAUCGAAUCAGCCGGCCCAACCCCGCCUACAUGCAGCCACCAAAACCCAAUUACUAAACCGCAACCGUCUGUCAAAUCACUCAUUGCUGGAUUGUGGAGUUUGACGAGCUUUCGCAAGGCAUACAUCUGGUGCGAAGAAUUACAGGCAGGACUGCACAAUACCAUUCACAGGGCAGUCAGUACUCACCUUACCCGGCUAAUAACCUUCACCCCGUUUAUGGAUUGCAACCCAUUCCGAUUGGACCAAAUCUGGAACAAAAAUAUGCCCCGGGACCACCAUCCACAAAUCUGAAGGCUGCAGGUCAGUUUCCUGCUCCCUUCAGUCAGGCUGCAUAUGAUGAAGAUCAGAUCAUGUACGCUCUACACACCAGCGCUUCUCACAGACCACACCUCACCUCUACCGCCACACAACCCUGAUUACGUGGAUUCACCAGAGACCAGUUAAAACCCCACCCCACCACACACCCACCCACACACACACACACACACACACACACAAAAUGGCCCGUUAUCAACUCAAAAGGGUUUUGCAUUCCCACACUUCUUCUACAGACUCUAAAAAGAUUGUGUUGAGAAACACAACCUAAAGUUCUUUGUGAACUAAUUUUCCCUCCAGUCAUGACCCACUGUUUGUUUGUUUCUCUUCAUUUUAACCAGAUUUGCUCUCAGUGUUUUGAAACCUUUUGUUGUUUGGCCUUUUGUUUAAUGGUCAAUAAAUGGCAUCUUAAACUAAUUUUUUUUAAUGGUCAAAAGUUAAUGCAUCUUUUCUACAUGUGAAAACAAUCCUUUGUACAAAUUUAUUGUAGUUUUUGAACAUUAUUCUAUCAAAAAAAAAAAAAAUUAAACCAGUCACUGGCCAACUUCAGACUUACUGUGUAUAAAUAGCAGAAAUCUUAAACUGAACAGCUCUCCAUGUGAGAAAACAAUCUUGCACCAUCUUAAGACUAUUUUUAUUGUAUAUUUUGGAGCUACUCUUAAAGAUAAAGGUUCUUCACUGGAAUUAAUGGGUCCACAAAGAACUUAUAAGAUACAUAGAACCUUUACAUCACAUAAAAGCUUCUUUAUAGCGCAGGAAGGUUUUCUCUAAAUAUUCACUAAAAGGUUCUUUGUGGAACCCAAAAUGGUUCUUCUGUGGCAUUGCUAAGAAAACCCCCUUUUGUAACCUUGUAUAAACUUACAGCUCUCCAAAUUAAGACUACCUAAAUCCAUUUCAUAAAAACUAAUAUAAUAUAAAAAGUUUUUUAAAAUAUUUGUGAUAUAUUUUAUGAGCAAAUCACGAACAAACCCUGAUUGUAUCGGUUAAUGUUUAGAUUUACAUAUUUAAGUUUCAACAGUUGUUGUUUUUUUG